rnacentral:rRNA from 1 species
CGCGGCGUAUUAGCUAGUUGGUGAGAUAAUAGCUCACCAAGGCGAUGAUACGUAGCAGACCUGAGAGGGUAAUCUGCCACAAUGGGACUGAGANACGGCCCAUACUCCUACGGGAGGCAGCAGUAGGGAAUCUUCCACAAUGGACGAAAGUCUGAUGGAGCAACGCCGCGUGAGUGAAGAAGGGUUUCGGCUCGUAAAACUCUGUUGUUAGAGAAGAACGACUGUGAGAGUAACUGCUCACGGCGUGACGGUAUCUAACCAGAAAGUCACGGCUAACUACGUGCCAGCAGCCGCGGUAAUACGUAGGUGGCAAACGUUGUCCGGAUUUAUUGGGCGUAAAGCGAGCGCAGGCGGUUUUUUAAGUCUGAUGUGAAAGCCUUCGGCUUAACCGAAAAAGUGCAUCGGAAACUGGGAAACUUGAGUGCAGAAAAGGACAGUGGAA